GUUCGAGGAUGUACUCGAGAUGACGGAAAUUCGUUGAUCACCGCGCGCACCGCGCGCCGUUAAACUCAACUUACAUCGUGUAGGGUACAUGUAACAAUCCCUCAAGACUUUCCGUUCUACAAACCGCAUCGGUUUUAAGAAGGAAUUGGGAAAAAGAAUAAGAAUGAAGAUUAACAGAGGACAGAGAGAAGAUACACAUGUCAUGAGUCAUGACAUGGCGGAGGAAAAGCAAGAGAUGAAGUUG